rnacentral:rRNA from 1 species
CCUACGGGGGGCAGCAGUGGGGGAUAUUGCACAAUGGGGGAAACCCUGAUGCAGCGACGCCGCGUGUGGGAAGACGGUCCUCUGGAUUGUAAACCACUGUCCCCAGGGACGAAGAUGACGGUACCUGGGGAGGAAGCUCCGGCUAACUACGUGCCAGCAGCCGCGGUAAUACGUAGGGAGCGAGCGUUGUCCGGAAUUACUGGGUGUAAGGGGAGCGUAGGCGGGACUGCAAGUUGGGUGUCAAAUCUACCGGCUCAACCGGUCGCCGCACUCAAAACUGCAGUUCUUGAGUGAAGUAGAGGCAGGCGGAAUUCCUAGUGUAGCGGUGAAAUGCGUAGAUAUUAGGAGGAACACCAGUGGCGAAGGCGGCCUGCUGGGCUUUUACUGACGCUGAGGCUCGAAAGUGUGGGGAGCAAACAGGAUUAGAUACCCGAGUAGUC